UAGUUGAAGAUAUGGAUCCACUUUGGUUGUUUGGGUAGAUCAUUGAAACUUAAAUUAUCUUGAUUGGUUCAAUAGAUUAGUUAUGGGGUGGAAGACGCUUCUCACCACCAUGUCUCUCCUUAUGAUUAAAUUAAUUAGGGAACGUCCUCUAAUUAAUUACUAAUUAACAAAUUGUCAAGGAACGUCCUUGGGCCGUAGGCAUCAAAACAAUUGUCAAUUGCAUAAAGAAAUAGAGAGAUCCAAUCCUAGCUACCCAAACGUAUGGAGAUAACGCUAGAUCAUGCAAUUCCUUGAUUUUUACGCCAAGUGUUCUAAGUUCAGAAUAUUUCCAGCAAUUACGGACUAAAAAUAAUCCCAACUAACAAUCAAUUAACUUUGAAAUUAAAAUCAAGUGGCCAAUUUGAUCAAAACAACACAGUAAUCAUGU
rnacentral:lncRNA from 1 species